CGGCCGCUGGACAACAUGGCGCC
rnacentral:piRNA from 1 species